AUUGAACGCUGGCGGCAGGCCUAACACAUGCAAGUCGAGCGGAUGAAGGGAGCUUGCUCCUGGAUUCAGCGGCGGACGGAUGAGUAAUGCCUAGGAAUCUGCCUGGUAGUGGGGGAUAACGUCCGGAAACGGGCGCUAAUACCGCAUACGUCCUGAGGGAGAAAGUGGGGGAUCUUCGGACCCCACGCUAUCAGAUGAGCCUAGGUCGGAUUAGCUAGUUGGUGGGGUAAAGGCCUACCAAGGCGACGAUCCGUAACUGGUCUGAGAGGAUGAUCAGUCACACUGGAACUGAGACACGGUCCAGCCUCCUACGGGAGGCAGCAGUGGGGAAUAUUGGACAAUGGGCGAAAGCCUGAUCCAGCCAUGCCGCGUGUGUGAAGAAGGUCUUCGGAUUGUAAAGCACUUUAAGUUGGGAGGAAGGGCAGUAAGUUAAUACCUUGCUGUUUUGACGUUACCAACAGAAUAAGCACCGGCUAACUUCGUG
rnacentral:rRNA from 1 species